rnacentral:rRNA from 1 species
AUAACGACUCUCGGCAACGGAUAUCUACGUGCUCGCAUCGAUGAAGAACGUAGCGAAAUGCGAUACUUGGUGUGAAUUGCAGAAUCCCGUGAACCAUCGAGUUUUUGAACCAAGUUGCGCCCGAAGCCAUUAGCGAGGGCACGUCCUGCCUGCGUCCAGCAUC